rnacentral:rRNA from 1 species
AUUGAACGCUGGCGGCAGGCUUAACACAUGCAAGUCGAGCGAGCGGCGGACGGGUGAGUAAUGUCUGGGAACCUGCCUGAUGGAGGGGGAUAACUACUGGAAACGGUAGCUAAUACCGCAUACCAUCAGAUGUGCCCAUAUGGGAUUAGCUAGUCGGUGGGGUAAAGGCUCACCUAGGCGACGAUCCCUAGCUGGUCUGAGAGGAUGACCAGCCACACUGGAACUGAGACACGGCCCAGACUCCGACGGGAGGCAGCAGUGGGGAAUAUUGCACAAUGGGCGCAAGCCUGAUGCAGCCAUGCCGCGUGAAUGAAGAAGGCCUUAGGGUUGUAAAGUACGUUCAGAGGGGAGGCGUUACCCGCAGAAGAAGCACCGGCUAACUCCGUGCCAGCAGCCGCGGUAAUUC